UACGUAGGGUGCAAGCGUUAAUCGGAAUUACUGGGCGUAAAGCGUGCGCAGGCGGUUAUGUAAGACAGAUGUGAAAUGCCCGGGCUUAACCUGGGAACUGCAUUUGUGACUGCAUGGCUAGAGUUUGGCAGAGGGGGGUAGAAUUCCACGUGUAGCAGUGAAAUGCGUAGAUAUGUGGAGGAACGACCGAUGGCGAAGGCAGCCCCCUGGGUCAAGACUGACGCUCAUGCACGAAAGCGUGGGGAGCAACAGG
rnacentral:rRNA from 1 species